rfam:Wuchereria bancrofti cont1.421, whole genome shotgun sequence.
AAAACAGUCUAGAAAGAAGACUGCGUUUAACUCUAGUCUGACUUUGUAAAGAAUCAUGGGAGGUGUGACAUAUGUUGGAGGCUUUUGUAUCUGUAUAUAUACAUACAAAUACCAACAUUGAAAUGCACUACUUUCAUUAUAUAUAUAUAUAUAUAUAUACAUACAUAAAUUAAUAUAUAUUAAAUUAAGCCACUAACCCAGGUGUCUUAAGGCUAGCUCGGAUAUGGUGGAAACUUCUCGUAGUAAAAGGGCAAAAGCUCAUUUCAUCUUGAUUUCCAGUAGAAAUAUAAACUACGAAAGCCUUUCCAACUUCUUAGCAAGAGAUGUCAGAAAAUGCUGCAGAAUAAAAAGAACCUGUGAUAUAGUGAUCUUUGGGUGUCGCUGUCUCUAUCAUUGCAAAAAAAAUUUACCAAAUGUUGAAUUAUCCACCCACCAAUAGGGAGGAAUAUGGGCUAGUUUAUAUCAUGCUGAAAUAGGUUAGUUUUGUUAUUUACAAGAAACAGUGGAAGGAAAAUACCGAAUUACAAAAUGCCUGAUUGUUCAAGUUCUUCCCAAUCUUUUCUAGAAGGUAAUGCAAAUAAUACUUUUGUGACAGUUGCCGCGGUAGUAAUUCUGUAUAAGGGGAAUUGCAGGUGCAGGCAUUUGGUUUAUGUGCUUGGCCAAGAGGUUAGUGGUGCAAAGGUAUCAGCUGAGAGAUUGUGACUGAGCACCUCUAAGUCAGAGUCUCACCCAGAUAAAGCAGCGAUAAAUGUGCUACCGUUGUGUAGCUAUGGCCGCGUUGUGUCGUUAUUAGAGCUAAUAUUUCGUUAUAUACCCGUGCUGCUUAAUGGAACGGUUAAGUGGUGAAAACCGGAUUGCUCUGGCACAACAUGGGCACUGCUACUGUGAUUUGUUAAGACUUAUUCUCUGACUAGACGGUUUCCCUUUUUUGCUAGUAAACGGUCUGCAGUAGCAGUAAACAU